GUGUGCUAAAAAUUGUUUUUCAAUCGGCGCUGCAUUUCGUUCCUACAUACCUGUGGAAAGCUGAAUACAUCACGUCAAAUUUGUUCCACCGUACACCGUCCUGCUACAGCAUACUUUACUGAGCCAGUUCAGCUAUAGUGUUUAACCAAGAUGUCUUGUUACGAACAAGGAACAAUUUUACCAUAUCAACCUUUUAAUCCUGAGGCCGAUGCCCAAUCCCUGA